rnacentral:rRNA from 1 species
AUUGAACGCUGGCGGCAGGCCUAACACAUGCAAGUAGAACGAGUGGCGGACGGGUGAGUAAUGUCUGGGAAACUGCCUGAUGGAGGGGGAUAACUACUGGAAACGGUAGAUAAUACCGCAUACCAUCAGAUGUGCCCAGAGGUGAUUGGCGAGUUGGUGGGGUAACGGCUCACCAAGGCGACGAUCCCUAGCUGGUCUGAGAGGAUGACCAGCCACACUGGAACUGAGACACGUUCCAGACUCGUACGGGAGGCAGCAGUGGGGAAUAUUGCACAAUGGGCGCAAGCCGGAUGCAGCCAUGCCGCGUGUAUGAAGAAGGCCUUCGGGUUGUAAAGUACUUUCAGCGGGGAGGCGUUAACCGCAGAAGAAGCACCGGCUAACUCCGUGCCGGCAGCCGCGGUAAUUC